UACGUAGGGGGCAAGCGUUGUCCGGAAUUACUGGGCGUAAAGCGCACGCAGGCGGAAUUGUAAGUCCGUUGUAAAAUUCAGAGGCUCAACCUCUGUCUGUCGGCGGAUACUGCAAAUCUAGAGUAUGUGAGAGGGAAGUGGAAUUCCUGGUGUAGCGGUGAAAUGCGUAGAUAUCAGGAGGAACUCCGGUGGAGAAGGCGACUUCCUGGCACAAGACUGACGCUCAUGUGCGAAAGCUAGGGUAGCGAACGGGAUUAGAUACCCCGGUAGU
rnacentral:rRNA from 1 species